UACGUAGGUGGCAAGCGUUGUCCGGAUUUACUGGGUGUAAAGGGGGCGCAGGCGGGAAGCUAAGUUGGAUGUGAAAUACCGGGGCUCAACUCCGGAGCUGCAUCCAAAACUGGUUUUCUUGAGUGGAGUAGAGGCAAGCGGAAUUCCGAGUGUAGCGGUGAAAUGCGUAGAUAUUCGGAGGAACACCAGUGGCGAAGGCGGCUUGCUGGGCUCUAACUGACGCUGAGGCGCGAAAGUGUGGGGAGCAAACAGGAUUAGAUACCCUGGUAGU
rnacentral:rRNA from 1 species